GGGAGGUGGUCUUGUGGGAGCAAUCUGUCUCAACUGCCUACAGCAUUUAUUUUAGAAUGGAAUGAAUCACUUUCUGGAGAAGUCUGAAGCAGAAGAAGCAGACUUGAAAGUCCGGACGCUAUCUCCAAGCAAUUGGAAGACAAGGAGGUUAUCAGGAGUAGUCAAAGUAGAUUCACCGAGGGGAAAUCAUGCUUGACCAACCUGGUAGCCUUCUAUGAUGUCAUCAGUGGCUGGGUAGAUGGGGGGAAAGCAGUAGAUGUUGUGUACCUUGACUUCAGCAAGACAUUUUAGACUGUCUCCUACAACAUCCUUGUUAUGAAACUCACAUUUUCUAAGAUAGGAAAGACAUGGACAUAUUCAAGCACGUCCAGUGAAGGGUCAUGAAGAUGAUUAAGGUUCUGGGACAUCUGGCAUAUAAACUGAGACUGAGAGAGCCUGAACUAUUUAGCCUCAAGGUGAAAAAGUUGUGAGGUAUUGAUAGAAUCAUAUUCAUAUACAUAAGUAUCUGAUAGAAGGGAGUAAAGAAGACAAAGCCAGACUUCUGAGUGAAGUGUGUACAAACUGAAAAGCAGAGAAUUUCCUUUAAAGACAGGGACAGGC